rnacentral:rRNA from 1 species
UACGAAGGGGGCUAGCGUUGCUCGGAAUCACUGGGCGUAAAGCGCACGUAGGCGGCUUUCUAAGUCAGGGGUGAAAUCCUGGAGCUCAACUCCAGAACUGCCUUUGAUACUGGAAAGCUUGAGUUCGGGAGAGGUGAGUGGAACUGCGAGUGUAGAGGUGAAAUUCGUAGAUAUUCGCAAGAACACCAGUGGCGAAGGCGGCUCACUGGCCCGAUACUGACGCUGAGGUGCGAAAGCGUGGGAGCAAACAG